rnacentral:rRNA from 1 species
UACACAUGCAGUCGAACGGUAACAGGCUUUCGGNAUGCUGACGAGUGGCGAACGGGUGAGUAAUACAUCGGAACGUGCCUAGUAGUGGGGGAUAACUACUCGAAAGAGUGGCUAAUACCGCAUGAGANCUAUGGAUGAAAGCAGGGGACCUUCGGGCCUUGUGCUACUAGAGCGGCCNAUGGCGGAUUAGGUAGUUGGUGGGAUAAAAGCUUACCAAGCCUACGAUCUGUAGCUGGUCUGAGAGGACGAUCAGCCACACUGGGACUGAGACACGGCCCAGACUCCUACGGGAGGCAGCAGUGGGGAAUUUUGGACAAUGGGCGAAA